CUGGACUCACUUUUAAUGCAACCACAGAAAUUAAGCUAAAUGAUCGUGUACAGCUUUAGCUCAUGAAAUUUUGAGAAGAUUUCGGCAGAAACCCUCUUCUGGAGAUACUUUUAAGAAGACUCCAACUUCUUAAGUUUCUAAUAACACAAGCAAUUGCAGUUGUUUAUUUUUUAGUUUUGCCAUAAUAAUCCUAUGUAACAAUGGAGAUUCAGUUAUAUUAUACUGUUUCACUUGUUCUAAAGUGCUUGACGUGCAACCAACCUGCAAGCAAACUUUACAUGCCUAAACCCACACUUUUGUAACGUGGCUUUGGACGAGGAUUUCUUGUAUAUUAUGUGCUAAUAAUAAAGUCGAUGAAAGCUUAUUGUAUGUCUAGCCUAUUUGAAGGAUGCAAUGAAGACCGAAGGCACACAUGCAAAUUAUUGUGGUGUUGCAGCUGGAAACAAACUACAAUGCCUAAAUAAAGCAAGAAAUUUAAGCCGCAGGGAUAAAAGUAAGUGCACCUGGUGGGGAUUGUACUCCCCAUCCCCAUGCCAUGAAUAAGCUUGUGCCUGUCACCGAGACGGGAUUCCAAUAAUUGAGGGAACCCCUCCCACUCUCAACUUGUUCAAAGAGAAUAUAUCAUUGUCCCCCCAUGGUGUUACCUCCAUCAUGGACUCCACGGCUCAUCCUCGUCCUCUCGACAGAGAAAAAGGCAUCGGGACCACAGCUAAAGGUUCUAGAGGAUAAAAUUAAGUCCCAUGUACAUGCAGUACAGGAGCAUAUACAUUUGAAUGUAGCUCCUGACUAACUUUGAAUAUUUAUAUUAAACCCUUAUGUCGACUGUUGCUCUCAGACUAAAACCUAGAGUUGAAUCCUCCU
rnacentral:lncRNA from 1 species